UGGUCAACAUGUGGCUUCUGAUCC
rnacentral:piRNA from 1 species